rnacentral:misc_RNA from 1 species
UGCCUCUUCAUCAACGAUCUGGACGCGGGUGCAGGUCGCAUGGGAGGCACCACCCAGUACACGGUGAACAACCAGAUGGUGAACGCCACCCUGAUGAACAUCGCCGACAACCCAACCAACGUGCAGCUCCCCGGGAUGUACAACAAGGAGGACAACCCCCGUGUCCCCAUCAUCGUCACCGGCAACGACUUCUCCACGCUGUACGCGCCGCUCAUCCGUGACGGGCGUAUGGAGAAGUUCUACUGGGCUCCCACCCGCGACGACCGUGUCGGCGUCUGCAAGGGUAUCUUCCGCACCGACAACGUCCCCGACGAGGACAUCGUCAAGAUCGUCGACAGCUUCCCAGGCCAAUCCAUCGAUUUCUUCGGCGCUCUUCGUGCCCGUGUUUACGACGACGAGGUGCGCAAGUGGGUGUCGGACACGGGUGUGGAGAACAUUGGCAAGAGGCUGGUGAACUCGAGGGAGGGCCCACCGGAGUUCGAGCAGCCCAAGAUGACGAUCGAAAAGCUCAUGGAGUACGGAUACAUGCUUGUGAAGGAGCAGGAGAACGUCAAGCGUGUGCAGCUGGCUGAGCAGUACUUGAGCGAGGCUGCUCUUGGUGACGCUAACUCCGACGCCAUGAAGACUGGUUCCUUCUACGGUUCUGCGCCAUCCAGCUGAAUAAAAGAUCUCUAGCUAUUCGCAUCCCAUCGAUGCAUCGUAGGCGGCCUGCAUAGGAGGAGGAGGGCAAGGAGCACAGCAAGCAGGUAACCUGCCUGUGCCGGAAGGUUGCACCGACCCUGUUGCCAAGAACUUCGACCCAACGGCGAGGAGCGACGACGGCAGCUGCCUUUACACCUUUUAAGCAGGCCGGCUUGACGCUUGCUAUUAAUUAUUUCUCCUUUUUAUGUUUUCUCUUUGUUCUGUGUAUCAGAUCGCGCCCAAGCCAUAGCUGGGCAUGACAAGUUUUUGUUAAUAAUAAUAUAAUAUAAAGAUAUGGGCG